rnacentral:tRNA from 1 species
UGACCUUUAGCUCAGUUGGUUAGAGCAGACGGCUCAUAACCGUCCGGUCGCAGGUUCGGGUCCUGCAAGGUCCA